rnacentral:pre_miRNA from 1 species
UUUGUACUCCCUCCGUCCCAAAAUUCUUGUCUUAAAUUUGUCUAAAUACGGAUGUAUCUAGUUACAUUUUAGUGUUAAAUACAUCUGUAUCUAAACAAAUGUAAGACAAGAAUUUUGGGACGGAGGGAAUACUAC